GGAACACACCUUUAAUCUGGGCUACACCUUCUGCUGGAGACAAUAUAAGGACAUUGGAAGAAGGGAGUCUAGCUCUUGCUCUUGCUCCUUCGCCUGCUUGCUGCGUGAGACUGAGUAACUGCUAGAUCCUUGGACUUCCAUUCACAGCUGCGACUGAACAAUUGUUGGGAAUUGGGCUGCUGACUUAGGGAAGGCUUUGGAGGCUUGAAGUGGCUUGAUCCACCGUGGAAAGAACCUUGUACAAGGAGAGCAGCCUAGAGAACCAGGUGCUGAGGCCCUAUCGGUGAAGGCACCACAUGCGCGGUUUGCAGAAGGCUGAGAAAUAAGGCUCAGGCUGGGCUAAAAGUGUCUCCCCACUUCAAGCCGGCUCCCAUGGUGCCUGUCAGAAGUUGCUAUGAAGGUUGCUGGAUCCGCCACGCUUCAAGAUGGAAGUACCAGGAAAGAUGCACCAGCCUGUGUAAUGGUGAUGCGCGUAUGUGCGUGUGUGUUACUCAUUUAUAGAUAGAAUCAACUUUUCGAUUGGACUCAGGGAGAGCCACAUCAGGUGCUGGGGCCUUAGACAAAACCCUGUGACCAGGGAAGUCAUAGGCCCCAGCAGGGACACAACCGCCACAGCUGUAUUAAGUGAUGUGGCGGCUAAGAUGCUCCCCUCUGCGAUUGUGUUUGCUAUUAUAACGCUAUUAUAAUGGCUGUUUAUC
rnacentral:lncRNA from 1 species